CUUUUUCUGACUGACAUUUUGUUUAUAUUCCUUAGAAAAGGAUCAAAACCGUUCUUGUUGAAUUUCUGAAACUGCAAUAUUAAAAAAAAGAUAUAAAGUCCAUCUGGUGUUACCCUUCAGUAACAUGCUCAUGCUGAAGAUGGCUGUCCAUAAAGAAAAGGAAUCUGGGCCCCUGAUGACGUCAUGAAACCACAAUAUUACGAUUUAAGGCACUGUUUCUAAGUUUUUGUUACUCAUGCUUAACAUGUUACUCAUGAUUAACUCAUGUUAAAUCAUGUUUAACAUGAUUCUUAACUGAAAAACUUCUACACAUACUGAAAUUUAUUCUUUUACAGUAGAAUAAAGCUAGAAAUCAGUAAUAGAAGAAAAUUAGAAAAUUCACAAACAUUUGGAAAUUAAACAAAAAAUUCUUUAAAAACCAAUGGGUCACAGAAGAAAUUACAAGAAAAAUUAGGAACUACCUUGAGACAAAUGAAAACACAACAUACCAAAACUUAUGGGACACAGAAAAAUCGAUGCUAAGGGGAGAAAUUUAUGGCUAUAAGCAUUUACACUAAAAAAGAGAAAGAUCUCAGGCCGGGCAUGGUGGCUUAUGCCUGUAAUCCCAGCACUUUGGGAGGCCAAAGUGGGCGGAUCACCUGAGAUCGGGAGUUCGAGACUAGCCUGACCAACAUGGAGAAACCCCGUCUCUACUAAAAAUACAAAAUUAGCUGGGCAUGGUGGUACAUGCCUGUAAUCCUAGCUACUCAGGAGGCUGAGGCAGAAUUGCUUGAACCCAGGAGGUGGAGGUUGCAGUGAGCCAAGAUCACGCCAUUGCACUCUAGCCUGGGCAACAAGAGCGAAACUCCAUCUCAAAAAAAAAAAAAAAAAAAAAAAAGAAAGAUCUCAAAUUAACAACUUAACUUUAUGUUAAGGAACUAUGUAUACAUUCCUUAAUGCAUACAUUAGAAUAAGAGCAGCAAACUAAACCUAAAGUUAAAAGAAGGAAGGAAACAAUAAAGAUUAGAGUGGAGGUAAAUAAAAUAGAGAAUAGAAACACGAUAGAGAAUAUCAGUGAAACCAAAAGAUGGUUCUUUGUAAAGGUCAACAAAAUUUACAAACCUUUAUAGCUAAAUUGAUUAAGAAAAAAAGAAAGACUCAAACUAUUAAGAUCAGAAAUGGAAGUGGGAUAUUAUUACUGAUUUUACAGAAACCAAAAGGAUUAUAAGAAUACUAUGAACAUUUGUACACCAACAAGUUGGAUAACUUAGAUGAAAUAAACACAUCUCUUAAAAAAGCCAAACUACCAAAACUGACACAAGUAGAAAUAGACAAUUUGAAUAGACUUAUAAGUGAAGAAAUUAGAUUUAAUCUCUUGACCCAGUUAUCUGUGGAUUUUUAGUCCCCAGAUAGCUUUUAUGAAUACUGCUCACUGCUUUUCCUGCCCUCAUUCCAUGUUAUGUGAGAUAGAGACAAGCAAGUCCAUCCUUCAGGUAUCCUCCAGCCAGCUUAGAACGGACAUAUACAAUAAUUUGCAAAUAAAACUAUGUUCCCUCCAGUUCCAUAAAGGGAAUUGGGAACUAGGCUUCUGCUGCUCAAGACCAACAGUGCUGCUGUACUUAGGAGCAGAUGAAAGGGUGAAUACAAACUCCAAAAAACGUUUCUACUGUUUUGAACAUGAAUUCUAGGUGAACAGGUUUCAUUUUCUUUCAUUACUAUAAAGAUGUCACUCCAUAGUCUUCUGCCUUUCAUAGUCUAAUAAGAAGUCUGGGCCGGGUGCAGUGGCUCAUGCCUGUAAUCCCAGCACUUUGGGAGGCCGACAUGGGAGGAUCACGAGGUCAGGAGUUUGAGACCAGCCUGACCAACAUGAUGAAACCCCGUCUCUACUAAAAAUACAAAAAUUAGCUGGGUGUCAUGGCACACGCCUGUAAUCCCAGCUACUCAGGAGGCUGAGGCAGGAGAAUCUCUUCAACCUGGGAGGUGGAGGUUGUGGUGAGCCAAGAUCGUGCCACUGCACUCCAGCCUAGGCGACAGAGUAAGACUCCAUCUCAAAAAAAAAAAAAAAAAAAAGUCUGUUUUUAUUUGUUCCUCUGUAAAUAUUUCUUAUUUAAAUCUGUAAAUAAUGUGCCUUUUGCCCCUCUGAGUAAAGGUUUCUCUUUAUCAUUGA